AGCGAACGCUAGCGGCGGGCUUAACACAUGCAAGUCGAACGCUCUCUUCGGAGAGAGUGGCGGACGGGUGAGUAACACGUAGGUUACCUGCCCUUUGGUGGGGGAUAACCCAGGGAAACUUGGGCUAAUACCGCAUAUGGUCUUCGGAUCAAAGCCUUCGGGCGCCAAGGGAUGGGCCUGCGUCCCAUUAUUUAAUCCUAGUUGGUGGGGUAACGGCCUACCAAGGGUACGAUGGGUAGCUGGUCUGAGAGGAUGAUCAGCCACACUGGGACUGAGACACGGCCCAGACUCCUACGGGAGGCAGCAGUGGGGAAUAUUGCGCAAUGGGGCGAAAGCCUGACGCAGCCACGCCGCGUGAGUGAUGAAGGCCCUCGGGUCGUAAAGCUCUGUCAGGGGGGACAAGAUCUGACGGUACCCCCUAAGAAAGCACCGGCCAACUCCGUGCCAGCAGCCGCGGUAA
rnacentral:rRNA from 1 species